rnacentral:rRNA from 1 species
AUUGAACGCUGGCGGCAUGCUUUACACAUGCAAGUCGAACGGCAGCGCGGGCUUCGGCCUGGCGGCGAGUGGCGAACGGGUGAGUAAUGCAUCGGAACGUGCCCAGUAGUGGGGGAUAGCCCGGCGAAAGCCGGAUUAAUACCGCAUACGACCUGAGGGUGAAAGCGGGGGACCGAAAGGCCUCGCGCUAUUGGAGCGGCCGAUGUCGGAUUAGCUAGUUGGUGGGGUAAAGGCUUACCAAGGCGACGAUCCGUAGCUGGUCUGAGAGGACGACCAGCCACACUGGCACUGAGCCACGGCCCAGACUCCUACGGGAGGCAGCAGUGCGGAAUUUUGGACAAUGGGGGCGACCCUGAUCCAGCCAUGCCGCGUGCGGGAAGAAGGCCUUCGGGUUGUAAACCGCUUUUGUUCGGGAAGAAAUCCUCUGGGCUAAUACCCCGGGGGGAUGACGGUACCGGAAGAAUAAGCACCGGCUAACUACGUG